UAUCUGACAAGAUUAAUCUUACACAGUUUUCAAUAAAUUUGCAUUUCGUUGUGUUUUCUCAAUGAAAUUUACAUGGAUUUUCUAUUUUAUUUCCAGAAGACUUCAGGAAAAAAAUUGAAGGACCACAGAACUUAGGUAAAUUUUCUGACCAUGCCUUCCUCCCACAUGUCCUCAGGAUGACUCCUUUCUUGGUGUCUUUAA
rnacentral:lncRNA from 1 species